GACGAACGCUGGCGGCGUGCCUAACACAUGCAAGUCGCACGGGGCCCGCUAAGGGUUCAGUGGCGAACGGGUGCGUAACACGUGAGGAAUUUGACCAUCGGCGGGGGAUAGCCGGCCCAACGGCCGGGUAAUACCGCGUACGACCUUCGGGGGCGAUCCCCUGGAGGUGAAAGCCGCAAUGCGCCGAUGGGGAACCUCGCGGCCUAUCAGCUAGUUGGUGAAGUCAUGGCUCACCAAGGCGACGACGGGUAGCUGGUCCGAGAGGAUGACCAGCCACAUUGGGACUGAGGCACGGCCCAGACUCCUACGGGAGGCAGCAGUGGGGAAUCUUGCGCAAUGGGCGAAAGCCUGAACGCAAGCGACGCCGCGUGUGGGAUGACGGCCUUCGGUUGUAACCACUGUCGGGAGGACGAAGCUCUGACGGUACCUCCAAAGGAAGCACCGGCUAACUCUGUGCCAGCAGCCGCGGU
rnacentral:rRNA from 1 species